rnacentral:rRNA from 1 species
AGGGUUCGAUUCUGGCUCAGGAUGAACGCUAGCUACAGGCUUAACACAUGCAAGUCGAGGGGCAGCAUGAUUCUAGCUUGCUAGAAUUGAUGGCGACCGGCGCACGAGUGAGUAACGCGUAUCCAACCUUCCCCUUAGUAGGGCAUAGCCCGGCGAAAGUCGGAUUAAUACCCUAUGUUCUUCGUUGAGGACAUCUGAAAUGAAGCAAAAGAUUUUAUCGCUAAGGGAUGGGGAUGCGUCUGAUUAGGUAGUCGGCGGGGUAACGGCCCACCGAGCCGACGAUCAGUAGGGGUUCUGAGAGGAAGGUCCCCCACAUUGGAACUGAGACACGGUCCAAACUCCUACGGGAGGCAGCAGUGAGGAAUAUUGGUCAAUGGACGAGAGUCUGAACCAGCCAAAAGUAGCGUGCAGGAUGACGGCCCUAUAGGUUGUAAACUGCUUUUAUACGGGGAUAAAGUGACCCACGUGUGGGUUUUUGUAGGUACCGUAUGAAUAAGGACCGGCUAAUUCCGUGCCAGCCGCUGC